rnacentral:rRNA from 2 species
GUAUAAUGGGUCAGCGACUUAUAUUCUGUAGCAAGGUUAACCGUAUAGGGGAGCCGCAGGGAAACCGAGUCUUAACUGGGCGUUAAGUUGCAGGGUAUAGACCCGAAACCCGGUGAUCUAGCCAUGGGCAGGUUGAAGGUUGGGUAACACUAACUGGAGGACCGAACCGACUAAUGUUGAAAAAUUAGCGGAUGACUUGUGGCUGGGGGUGAAAGGCCAAUCAAACCGGGAGAUAGCUGGUUCUCCCCGAAAGCU